rnacentral:rRNA from 1 species
CCCUUAGAUGUUCUGGGCUGCACGCGUGCUACACUGAUAUUGCCAAUAUGUCAUUCUUAUCCGAAAUGGAUUGGGUAAUCAAGUAAUGAAAUUUCAUGCUUGGAAUCGGUAAUUGCAAUUUUAUCGUGAACGAGGAAUUCCUAGUAAGCACUAGUCAUCAGCUAAUGUUGAUUAUGUCCCUGCCCUUUGUACACACCGCCCGUCGCUACUACUGAUUGGGUGUUCAAGUGAGAUGCUUAGGCCCUUGUUGCAUGGUUCAUUAUUGUGCUCCGAAAGGAAAAAGUUUCAAGCUUGAGUGUCUAGAGGAAGUAAAAGUCGUAACA